GUCCACGCCCUAAACGAUGUCAACUGGUUGUUGGGGAAGGCAACUUCCUUAGUAACGAAGCUAACGCGUGAAGUUGACCGCCUGGGGAGUACGGCCGCAAGGUUAAAACUCAAAGGAAUUGACGGGGACCCGCACAAGCGGUGGAUGAUGUGGAUUAAUUCGAUGCAACGCGAAGAACCUUACCUACCCUUGACAUGUACCGAACCCUGGUGAGAGCUAGGGGUGCCCGAAAGGGAGCGGUAACACAGGUGCUGCAUGGCUGUCGU
rnacentral:rRNA from 1 species